ACGCUGGCGGCAGGCCUAACACAUGCAAGUCGAGCGGAAACGACACUAACAAUCCUUCGGGUGCGUUAAUGGGCGUCGAGCGGCGGACGGGUGAGUAAUGCCUAGGAAAUUGCCUUGAUGUGGGGGAUAACCAUUGGAAACGAUGGCUAAUACCGCAUGAUGCCUACGGGCCAAAGAGGGGGACCUUCGGGCCUCUCGCGUCAAGAUAUGCCUAGGUGGGAUUAGCUAGUUGGUGAGGUAAUGGCUCACCAAGGCGACGAUCCCUAGCUGGUCUGAGAGGAUGAUCAGCCACACUGGAACUGAGACACGGUCCAGACUCCUACGGGAGGCAGCAGUGGGGAAUAUUGCACAAUGGGCGAAAGCCUGAUGCAGCCAUGCCGCGUGUAUGAAGAAGGCCUUCGGGUUGUAAAGUACUUUCAGUUGUGAGGAAGGGUGUGYAGUUAAUAGCUGCGCAUCUUGACGUUAGCAACAGAAGAAGCACCGGCUAACUCCGUGCCAGCAGCCGCGGUAAUACGGAGGGUGCGAGCGUUAAUCGGAAUUACUGGGCGUAAAGCGCAUGCAGGUGGUUCAUUAAGUCAGAUGUGAAAGCCCGGGGCUCAACCUCGGAACUGCAUUUGAAACUGGUGAACUAGAGUACUGUAGAGGGGGGUAGAAUUUCAGGUGUAGCGGUGAAAUGCGUAGAGAUCUGAAGGAAUACCAGUGGCGAAGGCGGCCCCCUGGACA
rnacentral:rRNA from 1 species